CAGUCGAGCGACGGAUAAGGAGCUUGCUCCUUUGAAGUUAGCGGCGGACGGGUGAGUAACACGUGGGUAACCUACCUAUAAGACUGGAAUAACUUCGGGAAACCGGAGCUAAUGCCGGAUAACAUAUAGAACCGCAUGGUUCUAUAGUGAAAGAUGGUUUUGCUAUCACUUAUAGAUGGACCCGCGCCGUAUUAGCUAGUUGGUAAGGUAAUGGCUUACCAAGGCGACGAUACGUAGCCGACCUGAGAGGGUGAUCGGCCACACUGGAACUGAGACACGGUCCAGACUCCUACGGGAGGCAGCAGUAGGGAAUCUUCCGCAAUGGGCGAAAGCCUGACGGAGCAACGCCGCGUGAGUGAUGAAGGUUUUCGGAUCGUAAAACUCUGUUAUUAGGGAAGAACAAAUGCGUAAGUAACUGUGCGCAUCUUGACGGUACCUAAUCAGAAAGCCACGGCUAACUACGUGCCAGCAGCCGCGGUAAUACGUAGGUGGCAAGCGUUAUCCGGAAUUAUUGGGCGUAAAGCGCGCGUAGGCGGUUUCUUAAGUCUGAUGUGAAAGCCCACGGCUCAACCGUGGAGGGUCAUUGGAAACUGGGAAACUUGAGUGCAGAAGAGGAAAGUGGAAUUCCAUGUGUAGCGGUGAAAUGCGCAGAGAUAUGGAGGAACACCAGUGGCGAACGCGACUUUCUGGUCUGUAACUGACGCUGAUGUGCGAAAGCGUGGGGAUCAACAGAUUAGAUACCCUGGUAGUCCACGUCGUAACGAUGA
rnacentral:rRNA from 1 species